AUCGCGUGGUGCCGCUCACACCCUCUACUUCCUUCCCAUCCCUUUCACAAGCUGAAACCGUGUCAAGGUCAGCUGGGCGAAGCUGGUUUCCCCACUGAUGGGUCUUCAGCAGCCAGGACCAAAGGAUUUUCAAGACGGCCGACUGAGCCUACGGCUGGCAUUUAUUGCCUUACCAGAGUAAAUCUCACGUGAGAACCAAACCCAUGAGAACCCAACUCCAAAACUGUGCUGAAAGUUGAAGGUCGAUGACUGUGCCGUUUGAGCAACAGAAUGUACAUACAGGAAGAGUUUAUUAUAGACACUUGCAACACAAUUCAUGUAGGCAAUUUAAUUCCCACCGACCUUGCUUCCUAUUUCACUGAGAACUUCCACAUAUCCUCCCCACCGUGUUUACUUACCUACGCCGCGUCUGCACCUGGUAUGUUUUCCUUCCCUCCUGUUACAUCGGAUCAGUUGUUCGAAGUCCAAGCCCUGCACUCGUGUCUUAGACCCGUUCCUUCUUGCCGCUGCGGGAACAUCUCUCCAACCUCACUCUUCUGCAUCGCGGUUUCCCUUCUACGUGGCAGUUGCCCUAUUGCCAAUUGAUAACCCUAUGAAAACUCGACGUACUAACUAGAGUGCAAUAUCUGCGUGAAGUUAUUUUUGUCUUCAGCCCUACAGCAUGCAGUCAAAAUACUGUUUUCUAAAGUUGCUUAAGCUCCUUUCUUCUGCACCCCCUGGUGGUUAUGUUAACCAUUUACAAUAUAGUUCAGUUUGUCUGUCCCUGCUCGGAUUUCCCUUUUGGGUUCCCCUCCACACCCUGGCUGCAUGUCUGUAUGUAAAACAUUACCAUGGCUCUCCCAGAGCCAGAGAGAGACAAAAAAGUGCCGUCAGAGAAAAGUCAACUCGUCCUCAUCGCUGCUACUCCGUUCCCAUGUUCCCAUGCCUUCCACCCUUUUCUUACCCACUCCUUUAGUUUCUGGUUUAUGCUUACUGUAUUUUUUCCCCCGAAACAUGUGUUUCUUUUAUCGCCUUCUUGUAUUUUAUGGAGAUAUAAUUUGCAUUGAAUGCACCUUUUGAAAGUGUACAGUUCAAGUGGUUUUUAGUAUAUUCACAGUGCUGUGCAGCCAUCACCUCAGUCUAAUUUUAGGACAUUUUCAUAUCCCCCAAAGAAAUCCUAUAUUCUACUCCUCUUUGUCCUCAGCCCCACACAACCACUAAUCUGUUUUCUGUCUUCGGAUUUCCCUGUUCUAGACAUUCCAAACGAAUGGGAUCGUACAAUAAGCGGCCUUCUGUGUCUGGCUUCUUUUACUUAACGUACAAUUUUCAAGGUCCAGCCAUGUUGUAGCAUUUUACAGUCCCAUGGGUAUGAGUGUUUCAAUUUCUCCACAUCGUCACCAACAUGUUUAUUUUUUGUUUAUUUUAUUAUAGCCACACUAGUGGGUGUGAAGUGGUGUAUCUGUGGUUUUGGUUUGCAUUUCCCUCGUGACUGAUAAAGUUGAAAUCUUCAUGUG